AGCCCUUGUAAUAAUCAAAGGUGCAACCUGCCCAAUGAUUUUUAAGCAAAUAAGAAUAACAAUCUUAUAAUAAAAUUUAAAGGACGCAGUAUCUUGACUGUGGUAAUGUAGCAUAAUCACUCGCCAUUUAAUUAAUGGAUAGUAUGAAUGGUUAAACGAAUAUCGCACUGUCUUUAAUAAAAAACCCAUGAAAUUAAAAUAAUAGUUAAGAUGCUAUUUAAAACUGUAAGACGAAAAGACCCUAUAGAGCUUAACUACAUUUUCUUUUAAACUAAUGAAAUAAAAAAUUCUUACAAAAGAGAAAAAGGUAGUUUAGUUGGGGCGACUAUCUUCUAAACAUAACGAAGACAAGCAAUGUUAAUGAAAAGACUUAUUGUAUAAUACAUAAAUUUAACAAUUAUAAAAAUAGGCCAUAAUGACCCAUUAGGAUUAAGUAAUAAACCUAAUGAUUAAUAAAUAAAAGCUACCUUAGGGAUAACAGGAUAAUUUUGUUUUAGAGAUCAUAUCGAAAACAAAGUUUGUCACCUCUAUGUUGAAUUAAGAUAUCCUGAUAGUGCAGAAGCCAUCAAAGGUAGGUCUGUUCGACCUUUAAAAUCUUAUAG
rnacentral:rRNA from 1 species